rnacentral:rRNA from 1 species
UACGUAGGUGGCAAGCGUCAUCCGGAAUUAUUGGGCGUAAAGCGCGCGUAGGCGGUUUCUUAAGUCUGAUGUGAAAGCCCGCGGCUCAACCGCGGAGGGUCAUUGGAAACUGGGGAGCUUGAGUGCAGGAGAGGAGAGUGGAAUUCCACGUGUAGCGGUGAAAUGCGUAGAGAUGUGGAGGAACACCAGUGGCGAAAGCGGCUCUCUGGCCUGUCACUGACGCUGAGGCGCGAAAGCGUGGGGAGCAAACAGG